GCCAAGCCCUGGUCUUCUCUUUGGGCCUGGUCUUGUUUUCCACACAGAUGCCUGGACGGAGCCAUGUGUCCUGGCCGUAUUGCUGGCCCACUGGGCAGAGUGCUCAGUCCCAUCACCGAAGCGGCAGCGCCUGCAGCCCUGCCUUCAUGGGACACAGCUCCCGCCUGCUCCUUGCUAGUGCCGACUAAAGCACAGGUAUUUAAAGAUGGCUCACACCGAGUGCUGAGAUGUGCAGUUGCAGGCUCCUGGGUGUGCAGUUUUGCCCCAGUAACUAAGAGAAGCUGAUGACAUCUGGAGUGGCACCCACUAUGGCUGAGGUGAAUGGAGAGAAUUCCAGGAACCAAGAGGAAGGCCAAGUCACAGAUAGAAGAAGCCUAAAUUCCUGAAUGACCAUGUGGAGCAGAGAAUCCUCUCCAAUCCACAUAUGACUGCGUUUAUGAGAUGGAGACAUUUUAUAACACCCUCAGUCACUCUGAAGACAAGGAAUAGGAAGAAACAGACUUGGAGUAGAACACACUGCCAACCAAGUGUCUCCUUUUCCAUUUGGCAACCAGGAACUUGUGGCCAGAGGUGGGAGGCACCUGGGCAUCAGCUUCCACCAAGAAUAACAUAAAAGACGUUACUGUUUCAGCAAAUAAAUUAACAUCAUCAUGAAUUUGUGAUUCAUUAUUAUGAAUCACAAAUGUUGCAAAUUCGUGACCAUAUUCAGAGAUUGAGUGUCUCAGAGGGAAUAUUGCAGAAAUCGCAGCCAGGCUGUGCAAAACUGUGGGAUGACUGAGCAGUGGACUUGCACUCUAAAACAGCCCUUCUCCCUUCCUCUGCCCCUGCUCUUUUCCCCAGCCCCUGCUCCCUUCCCCAGCCCCUGCUCCCUUCCCCAGCCCCCGCUCAGGUUGGAUUUCCAUUGACACUUCAAGCCUGGAUGUAAUAAAUCAACUGCUGGU